UCUCCUACACCAUGAUCCAUUUAUAUAAUGUUGUGUUGAUAUCGAGCGAGCUUCCUCUUACCAAGUGUUUGUAUCCAUAAUGUCAAAAUCAGUGAAAGCCGUCGACACAGCUUGAAAUUCUAAUAAUUUUAUGGCAUGCUAAAAUAUAGUUUCUAAAAUUAAGAAUUAACAAUUUGGAGGGAAUAUGGAUAUGCAAUUAAAAAACUUAGAACGGAAACCUUAUCAAAAACCUUUGAAGGAAAUGGUUGUUUUUACAUAAAUAAUCCAUCGGUUUGGUUAUGCACAUGAUUUUUUUAACAUGAUAUGAAUCACUACUUUGCACGUACGCCUUAUCUAAAGUCGGCGUCUACGGUUCUCGAUAUCGUCAAAAAUAUGCAUUUGAUGGGCAUAUUGUAAAAUUAUUGAAAGGUAACAUGCUUGCAUAGAGGGAAAACGGUUACUGUCUUUAGUGAUACUAAUUCGUUGUCGCAAAGAGGUGCCAACAUAUUGACUUUGUUUUAGUUAUAGGCAUGAAAGAAAAGGCAUUUAAAAGAAAUAUUGUCGCGGUAUCAGAAAAUUUUAACAUCAAAUUUAAGUAGUAAUUGAAGUCGUUUAAACAAUGCCCAUUUUUUAUGUUUUCUUUUUGGACAGUUAAACUCUCUUUUUAAAAAAUAAUGGUACAUUAUCGUAUAACAUUUGAAAAUAUUAAUAAUGAAAUUAAAAUUAUAUAGUUAGAUAAAUCACAUUGCCCAGGUUUUUUCCUGGAGGGUUUUUCGAAAUUUAAAUUUCUCACCUUUUGGGAAGACUUUGAAGGAAAAAACGCGAAUUUUAUGCGAAAAACGAUUAACUUGUUAUUGUGUAAUUAAAAAUAUUAACAAAUUAAAAACUCUUUCCAGCGUUACGUAAUUACGUAUAGAAAGUGUUCACAAUUCCAAAACAAUCGGUGUUGUAGUUUUUGAGUUUUUAGGGAUACCGGCAUUGAAAACGUAUGAGGGAAACGCUUUAAAGCUUUGAAAUAAAAGUCCAAUCGACAUAAAUUUUGACACAAUAGUCUUGAAAUAUUAUGCAUUAAUUAUACAUUACAAAUGAUAGAUAAUAUAUAAUUAAUAAUUCUUUCGUUAUUGAAACACCGAGUACUGAAUGUUUUGUAAUUUUGUUAUAUAUUUUUCAUACAAAUACACUACUUGUAACAUUUAAGUCUUUAACCAGAAACAUACACAUACAUAUGAAGAAUGUCAAAUGCAAUGUCCAUAAAAAUGCAU
rnacentral:lncRNA from 1 species